rnacentral:rRNA from 1 species
UACGGAAGGGGCAAGCGUUGUUCGGAUUUACUGGGCGUAAAGGGCGCGCAGGCGGCUCAUUUUGUCAGGCGUGAAAGCCCCGGGCUUAACCUGGGAACUGCGUUUGAUACGGAUGGGCUAGAGUUCGGGAGAGGAGAGUGGAAUUCCCGGUGUAGCAGUGAAAUGCGUAGAGAUCGGGAGGAACAUCAGUUGCGAAGGCGGCUCUCUGGACCAGCACUGACACUGAGGCACGAAAGCGUGGGGAGCAAACAGG